GCUGGGCACUGUGGCGGAUGCCCAUAAUUCCAGCAGCUCAGGAGGCUGAGGCAGGAGGAUAGCGAGUUCAAAGCCAGCCUAAGCAAUGAUGAGGGGCUAAGCAACUCAGCAAGACCCUGUCUCUA
rnacentral:sRNA from 1 species